rnacentral:rRNA from 1 species
AUACGUAGGGUGCAAGCGUUAAUCGGAAUUACUGGGCGUAAAGCGUGCGCAGGCGGUUUUGUAAGACAGAGGGGAAAUCCCCGGGCUCAACCUGGGAACUGCAUUUGUGACUGCAAGGCAAGAGUGAGGAAGAGGGGGUUGGAAUUCCGGGUGUAGCGGUGAAAUGCGUAGAUAUGCGGAGGAACACCGGUGGCGAAGGCAAUCCCCUGGGCCUGUACUGACGCUCAUGCACGAAAGCGUGGGGAGCAAACAGGAUUAGAUACCCUGGUAGUCCACGCCCUAAACGAUGUCAACUGGUUGUUGGGUCUUCAUUGACUCAGUAACGAAGCUAACGCGUGAAGUUGACCGCCUGGGGAGUACGGCCGCAAGGUUGAAACUCAAAUGAAUUGACGGGG